UGCCGGGUCAUUAAUUGGUAAAACACUUGUCUAGCGAAUAAGGGUCGUGAGUUCAAAUCUCACCUGAGCUG
rfam:Aedes albopictus isolate Foshan contig123719, whole genome shotgun sequence.